UGAUGUGAAAACAAUAAACAGCUUUAUUGGUUCAGCCUUCGUUUCACAUACUACUUUUUUAACUUCAGUCUUUGUUCUUUCCCACAGUUGCAUUCUGACAGAAGAGGCCCACAUGAGGAAGUGGGGAAAGAAGGAAAAAAAGAGGACCUUAUAGUCUUUUAGUCCUGUUUAUACCAGUGUCUGGAUUCCAAGUGCUCCUGGAGCAAAAAAGAUGGAGAACUGGAACAGGUUUUAAUGCUACAAAAUAGACAGCUCAGUGCUAGAACUCUGGAAUUUCUGACUGGGUCCUUGGCACUCUUGAAACUCUCCAGGCCACAGUUUGUUGCCAGUGGCUCAGAAGAACUACAGAGUAAACAUGCCUUUCAUUAAAGACCAAAAGAGUAUAAUAUCAAGGAAGCAGAGGCCCAGAAGGCAGGCUGCCAUAUCAGCUCUUUCACUAAAAGCAAAUCUAACUCGUGUGCUGAUAUGAGGCAAAAGUUCCAGCAGAACAUGAAGAAACAGCUUGUUCUUUAUGUGACACCCUCAUGAGCCUUGAGAGGUAGGAAAAGACUCUUUUCCUGUGUACUCUUAAAACACAACCCACCUUACUGCUGACCAGAUUUAGGACUUGUCUUCAGGCCCUUUAAAGAUGCAUUUAUUUGUCUAGGCAUUCAAAUGAGAAUACAGGGAUGAUGAUAGACAAUUUUGUGACUGCAUACAAAAAUAUAUUACAGGU
rnacentral:lncRNA from 1 species